GGUGCCCAAAAAGUGCAGUAGGUUUGGAGGGAAAGAUAGAGGAGACUAGAAAAAUGAUUCUUCUUGGAGGAAAAGAUGUUUGCAACGACAGAUAAGACCCCUAGUCAUGGCCCAGAAACUAAAGUUUAAGCUUCUUUCAGGCAGUGCCCAUAUUUGAUCAUAUAUGUACAUCUCAUGAAAAAAAUAAAACUAGAACAAUGCUUUGCGGGGGGGGCUCAAAAAACGUGAAUAAAAGCGUAACAAGGCAUUGAGUUACUGUAGGAAGUAGAAAGCUUUUCCAUUUCACCCAUCACCUCUCUGCUCCCACAGAACCUGUAUCCAGGCACGCAACCAGAAACUUCCAGCGCCUGGAGGUAUCACUUUCUACUCUACAUCCGAGCGAGCAUUGCACACCCCCGCCGAAAGGGGGCGGGCCCCACAGAGGUCUCGGGAGGGUGGGUCUGCGGCCCUGACCACCACAAACCGACCAAUGCCCGCGGCACCCAGGGUGGAGAGACCCCCAGCAAAGCUGACCGUCUAGGGACUGGCCUCCCGAACUCGCUCCCCAGUGCGCCGCUACCCUGGACACCGCCACGCCGCCCCAACGCGGUGCCCCCGCCGCCCGCCCUGGCCUUCUCGGUCUCUCCCGGUACCCACAGCAGCAAACCCUCCUCCUGCGGGGAGACCCCAGAAGCCUCCUUGCUGCCGUAGCUCCCUCGCAAAAAGUGACAACCGUAAAGCUGGCUCACCUCACCAGGCCACUACCGGCCCCACAACCGCCGCGCCCGACUCUCAGCUACUCACGCCGGCCCCGCCUUCCUGAGCUAUCCCACAAGUCCUCGCGUGGCCUCGCCCCGCCCCCUGGAGCCAGGACGGAGCGUGCGCAGAAGAUCAGGUGCGCUGAGCCCUCCUCCUCUGGGUGGAAUCAGCCUAGAGGAUUGACAGCCUCAGGCUCCGAGUGAGAAAACCAAGACCCAGAAUGGAGAUUUGUCCGAGCCCUCGGAGCCACUGAGACUUACACUCUGCCUGGCCUGGCGAUGAAGCACAGGGAAUAGAGGGCGAACUCAAACUCAGGGCUGCUGCCGAUGAAAGCUGAGCCCACUUCCUUGUAGUAGCCGUCCCAGUUGAACUGCAUGGCCAGCACAUCAGGAUACUCCAGAAGAGACCGGUCCUCAAAACCGGCCCCCUUGGCCUGGAAGGAGACGUGUCCCACCCUGCGUCUGAACUGGCUAGGCUGCUGCGCCUCGGAGCUGCCCUGCGCCUGAGGGAAGCGUCUCUCGUCAUCCUUUCACCUUUCUUUCCAAGUACAGUAAUCCCACCUGAGAAGACGUGUUCAAAGCCACUGGAGUCGCCCUCUUCACUGCCUCUUGAGUACAGCCCAAACCACAUGUUUUUCAAGUCGUCGACGAACUCCUGUUCUGAGCUGUAGCGAUCUGGAGAGAGGGACACAGAAGACUUAGGAGAGGGGACGGUGGGGCCAGAGCCUGGGAACAGGGAAGGGCCGCCUGCUCCAGCUCAAGAGUCAUGUGGGGUCAGCGAACAAAUGUAUUCCAUUAUUCAUUCAACGAUGAUCAGUGGGGCACCUAUUUUGUGCCAGGCCCAAAUCUAAAGGCCGAGGCUUUAGCAGGGAAUCACAAAGACACGAUACCUGUCUUCAGCAUUUACACCACCGUGGAGGAGACAAAUAAUAGGCAAAUAAACAAUAUGAUUUCAGGUA